GUCCAGCUGACGAGUCCCGAAUAAGACGAAACGUGCAUCCUGGAU
rfam:Schistosoma curassoni strain Dakar, Senegal genome assembly, scaffold: SCTD_scaffold0001050